GUCGGACACUUAACCGACUGCGCCACCCAGGCGCCCCUUAAAUGCUCUUUUAAAGGCCCUAUAUCCAAACCACGUCUUAAAAGACCAAAUAUAGUCACAUUCUGAGAUACUGUGGGCUAGAACUUGAACGUAUAAAUUUGGAGGGGGACACAAUUAAGCCCAUUACACUGCCUGAACAUAACCAUAAUUUAUCCACAAGGAAAAUUAGAUCUAACAACAUCACAGGUCACGUUCCUAAGGGAAGCAGACUCUGAAGAGAUGGAGAUUGGCCUGCAGGGGUUUAUGGUAGAUGCUCUCAGGAAAACCUACAAGCAAUGAAGGCAGCAGAAUUAGGCAUAAGGGGACUGCAGUGAAGUCAUGGUCAAGGCCCAGGAUGACCACAGAACUCUCCAGGCACGUGGAGAGUUGUUUGGAAUUGAAGCAAGGGCACUAGGCCAUUUUACUCCUGCAAAGACUAGUCAUGGGGUGUGGGCUGCCCCCAGGAAAGAGGCAUGAUAUUCAUGAACAGGCUCUCUUCAGCUGAGGACAGUCUCAGGCAGACUCAGUUGGGAGUUGCCAAUCACCCAGUCUUUGGGAGCUGAGAGAGGAUUGCUCAGUCAAGUGGAGUCUCUGGUCAGUGCACUGGGUGUCUACAGUAUAAGGAAGCAGAGGUUCCCCACGUGAAUGAAAAGAUUUACCAUCAUCUUCUUAAGAAAUUUCUCAAAUUUCUCGUAAUACCUCUCAGUAGUUUAAAUGGUGACCUAUUAUGAACCCUAAAACACUUGGCCCAAUUCCGGGUGCAUCAAAAAUGCCCAGCAGAAUAGUCAGGGUGUAUGGCCUCAUGAGAAGAGUAUGCUAUUUGGAGACAAAGAGAUCUGGGUUCAACUCUCUUCCCCACUAAUACUCUUUACCCUCUCCAAAUCUCCAAUGUCUCUUCUGCAAAAUGAGGAUAAGUAAGCCAACUUUGUUAGACUGUUGGAAAGAUUCAAAGAAAAAAAUACACUUCAGGGUGUCGGGCACAUGCUUGACAAAGAAGGCAUUCCGAAAGCAUACGUUUCCUUCCCUUUCUUUAAGCAAAUAAUUAAUCGGUGGUAACCAAUUUCAAACCAGAAAUAGACAUUUGAUCUCCUAACAUGAGGGAAAAUGUUUCUCAAAUGCUGCACUUGAUCUUAGCCAAAAGGCUGAGAAAUGAUGUUUCUCAAAUUCUGGUGUGAUCAGAAUCACCGGUGAAGAUUGUCAAAACAGAUUCCUGGAUCCCAUUCACAGUGAAUCUAAAUCAGGAGGUCUAAGGUGAAGACCAGGCAUGUGUAAUUUUAGCAAGUCCCAUGGGGGUUUCUGAUACCUGGAAAAUCUUGAGGCCCCCUGCUUGAGGCUGUGGGUGUUGUGUCAGUAAGAAUGGGAGUUCAGUGCUUAGAUGCCUGGGGACAUUUCCGCUGUCUUCAUUGUCAUUUAGUUCUGUGGAUGUAGAUGUACACAUCUCAUCACAAAGACUUCUCCCCUUGUAUAAAUACUGUGCAUUCCAAAGCUAAAACAUGCAUAAAUUAUGUCAGCUAUAGAAUCAAACCAAUUCUCCUUUUCAAGAUGUAGUUUUAUUGAGGUAUAAAUCACUACUACAAGGCAAUUUAGUGCAGACAGGAAUUUUACUGGGGGAUGCAGAUCCCCUGAGCUUGUCUGGAAAAUGGGAAGCAUAUUCAGAGUUGCAGGUGUAAGAGCUGCGUGUCCUGCAAAGAAGCUCCGUCUGGACAGAGAUUUAACUUUCUCAUCUAAAUCAAGGUAAAUGGAGUUCCUCUGGAUGGGAUUGUUAAAGGCUUUCUGUGUUUGAUUAGGGAUCACAAAGCCCAUCUGUGCUGCAGAAAUUAUACUGUCAAAAAGACACCUGACCGGGGUCCAGAAAGUAAACAGGAGCUGGAACACAGAAAGUGACCCCUGAGCACAGACGGGCUUUCACAUCCCUACCAGACUUCCCCUGAUUUAACAUGGGGCCAUGUGGUUUCCCAGUGUCUUCUGUGGCUUUCUUUUCCCACAGAAUGAGGCCUCAUUUGUUCUAAAAUAUGAAGCUUUGGGGGUUUCUCGAAAAUGGUACUUUCACUCAGUAAAAAUAAGUCAAGAC